UUCGAGCGUCAUUACACCCCUCAAGUCAAACUUUUUGGUUAACUUGGUGUUGGGCCUUGCCGGAAGGCAUGCCUAAAAAUUAGCGAUGGUACGUUAAACCACGGACGCACAAAUGUCGUUACGUAGGGGUACGGCACCAGUUUAAUGAUUAAUUUCUCAAUGUUGACCUCGGAUCAGGUAGGAAUACCCGCUGAACUUAA
rnacentral:misc_RNA from 1 species